UAUGGCAAGCCGUUCUCGUCAAAACUAUGUUUAAACCCUUUUUUUCGAAAAAAAAUACACACUGAGAAUUAAAAACCUAAAAUAACACACUGAGAAAUCGAAAUUACACACUGAGAUUUAAAAAAAUAAAAAACACACACUGAGAAUUCAAAAUUACACACUGAGAUUUUAAAAAGACACACUGAGAUGAAAUAAAUUGAAAAGCACACACUGAGAAUUGUUAAUUACACACUGAGAUUUCAAAAAAUACGCACUGAGAUUAAUAUGCAAAUUACUAAUGAAUAUUCAUGAGAUGAAUAAUUCAACAGAUUUAUAUCUUGAUCUCAAGAACUCUUAUCAUUAUAAUGAAACGCGAUUCCUUCAACCAAC
rnacentral:lncRNA from 1 species